rnacentral:rRNA from 1 species
AACGAACGCUGGCGGCAGGCUUAACACAUGCAAGUCGAGCGCCACGCAAGGGGAGCGGCAGACGGGUGAGUAACGCGUGGGAAUCGACCCAUCUCUACGGAAUAACGCAUGGAAACGUGUGCUAAUACCGUAUACGUCCUUCAGGAGAAAGAUUUAUCGGAGAUGGAUGAGACCGCGUUGGAUUGGCUACUUGGUGGGGUAAAGGCCUAACAAGGCGACGAUCCAUAGCUGUUCUGAGAGGAUGAUCAGCCACACUGGGACUGAGACACGGCCCAGACUCCUACGGGAGGCAGCAGUGGGGAAUAUUGGACAAUGGGCGCAAGCCUGAUCCAGCCAUGCCGCGUGAGUGAUGAAGGCCCUAGGGUUGUAAAGCUCUUUCACCGGUGAAGAUAAUGACGGUAACCGGAGAAGAAGCCCCGGCUAACUUCGUGCCAGCCGCCGCCGUAAAAC